AGAGUUUGAUCAUGGCUCAGAUUGAACGCUGGCGGCAUGCCUUACACAUGCAAGUCGAACGGUAACAGGCCUUCGGAUGCUGACGAGUGGCGAACGGGUGAGUAAUACAUCGGAACGUGCCCGAUCGUGGGGGAUAACGGAGCGAAAGCUUUGCUAAUACCACAUACGAUCUACGGAUGAAAGCAGGGGACCGCAAGGCCUUGCGCGGACGGAGCGGCCGAUGGCAGAUUAGGUAGUUGGUGGGAUAAAAGCUUACCAAGCCGACGAUCUGUAGCUGGUCUGAGAGGACGACCAGCCACACUGGGACUGAGACACGGCCCAGACUCCUACGGGAGGCAGCAGUGGGGAAUUUUGGACAAUGGGCGAAAGCCUGAUCCAGCCAUGCCGCGUGCAGGAUGAAGGCCUUCGGGUUGUAAACUGCUUUUGUACGGAACGAAAAGACUCCUUCUAAUAAAGGGGGUCCAUGACGGUACCGUAAGAAUAAGCACCGGCUAACUACGUGCCAGCAGCCGCGGUAAUACGUAAGGUGCGAGCGUUAAUCGGAAUUACUGGGCGUAAAGCGUGCGCAGGCGGCUUUGCAAGACAGAGGUGAAAUCCCCGGGCUCAACCUGGGAACUGCCUUUGUGACUGCAAGGCUAGAGUACGGCAGAGGGGGAUGGAAUUCCGCGUGUAGCAGUGAAAUGCGUAGAUAUGCGGAGGGACACCAAUGGCGAAGGCAAUCCCCUGGGCCUGUACUGACGCUCAUGCACGAAAGCGUGGGGAGCAAACAGGAUUAGAUACCCCGGUAGUCCAA
rnacentral:rRNA from 1 species